UGUGGGAAGAGUUGAGUAUUUUUCGGCCCAACUGCACCUGUGGAAAAUGUACUUGCGGGGGGGUUAAGGAGCUGAAUAAACAUCAUCAAAUGGAGUACAUUAUGUCAUUUCUUAUGGGAUUGAAUGACUCAUUUUCUCAAGCUCGGGGCCAGAUACUACUUAUGGAUACUGUACCUCCUAUUAACAAAGUUUUUGCACUGAUUUCUCAAGAGGAGAAUCAGAGGAAAGUCAGUACACAAUCCAUUGGAGGUGAUUCAACUGGAGCAGCAGCCUUCGCCUUUGGAGCUGAUAAUUUCAAAUCAAUUGUUCAUUCUAACCGUCACAGCAAUAGUUCGAAAGCUAACAUAUCAAACAAUUUCAAAAAGAAGGAACGACCAUAUUGUACACAUUGUAAAUAUCAUGGACAUUCUAUGGAUAAAUGCUACAAAAUCCUUGGAUAUCCACCCGAUUACAAGGGAAAACCAAGAGAAAAUUUCCAAAAAUCUUACACAUCUAAUUCUGUUAAUCAAUUGUCUGCCUUUGUUACUCAACAGGAUGAUGGUAAACAGGUGGAUCAGCAGCUGGGCAUUAGAAAUUUUGUACAGAAUCUGAAUUCAAAUCAGUAUCAACAGCACAUAACAAUGUUGUCCACUUACUUGGCUACUAGUGCAGAUAAUACUUCAACGAAUCAGGACAACAAUGCCUCUUCAGAUAUAUGCCAUUCUACAUCAGUCAAUUCUGCUUUCGCAUCUAAAGGUUUAUGGAUAGUUGAUUCAGGGGCCACCCAACAUGUGUGCUGCAUGGCUGAUGCUUUUUUAAACCUGAGAACUGUUGAUAAUUCAAGCAUCAAUUUACCUAAUCACACACGAAUAUCAGUCAAUCUUUGUGGAGAUAUCAGACUAAGUUCAAAACUGAUGUUGCAUGAUGUUCUAUUUGUUCCCCAAUUUAAGUUCAAUUUCCUGUUCGUCAGUGCAUUGACUAUUGGAUCUGAACUUACCUUAAGUUUCUUCCAUGAUCAGUUCAUUAUUCAGGAAGCUACAACCAAGAAGAUGAUUGGCAGGGGUGAUAGAGUCCAUGAUCUAUACAUACUUGAUACUAAAAACAUUGACUAUGUUUGUAAUGCGUUUGCUAGUACUGUUUCAGCUCAUAGAUGGCACAAUAGGCUUGGUCAUCUAUCCUUUAAAAGACUAGAUGUUUUGAGAAAUCAAUUGCUGUGUGAAUUUACCAAGUUAAAUUCAAAUCUUC
rnacentral:lncRNA from 1 species